AGCAGCCGCGGUAAUUCCAGCUCCAAUAGCGUAUAUUAAAGUUGUUGCGGUUAAAAAGCUCGUAGUUGGAUCUGCGGCCGAGGAGGGCGGUCCCCCGUUGGGUGGCUACUGCCUUUCCUGGCCUAACUCUCUGGUUUUCCUCUGGUGCUCUUGACUGAGUGCCUCUGGUGGCCAGAACGUUUACUUUGAAAAAAU
rnacentral:rRNA from 1 species